GCCUCCAUAGCUCAGUGGAUUAGAGCAACCGGUUUCUACCCGGUCGGUCGCGGGUUCGAAUCCUGCUGGGGGCACCA
rnacentral:tRNA from 1 species